AACGCACAUUGCGCCCGGCAGUAUUCUGCCGGGCAUGCCUGUCCGAGCGUCAUUUCAACCCUCGAGCCCCCCCGGGGGGCUCGGUGUUGGGGAUCGGCCCGCCUCCACCGGAGGGCCGGCCCCGAAAUCCAGUGGCGGUCUCGCCGCAGCCUCCCCUGCGUAGUAGCAACACCUCGCACCGGAGCGCGGCGCGGCCCCGCCGUUAAACCCCCCAACUUCCAAAAGGUUGACCUCGGAUCAGGUAGGAAUACCCGCUGAACUUAA
rnacentral:misc_RNA from 1 species